rnacentral:rRNA from 1 species
CUCUUAGAUGUUCUGGGCGGCCCGCGCACUACAAUGGCGCUUUCAGCGAGUUCCUAUGUUGAAUUUUCCUGGGUAUUCUUGGAAGCGGCGUCUUGACUUGGGAUAGAUCCUUGUAAUUGUUGGUUUUGAACGAGGAAUUCCUUGUAAUCGCGGUUGAUCAGCUCGCGUUGAAUACGUCCCUGCCCUUUGUACACACCGCCCGUCGCUCCUACCGAUGAAUCGUCCGGUGAAGUUCACAGAGUGGCGGUUCGUGGAGUUGCUCGCGAAGUGAAAUGGACCUCACGAUUUAGAGGAAGGAGAAGUCGUAACA